UGGAGCCUACUGCCGGGGAAGAUCGGGACGCAGACCGACGCAAACCAACCAUUAAAAAAAUGCAUCCAGUGGGAAUUUUUCCACUCGGGCCCUGGGCUGCCGAGUGGCGGCAGACUCGGAGCGGUUCACCGGUCGACGCGGACUCGGGGCGGUUUCGGAAGGAUCCCACCGUCGGGGGCGCGGACUAGGCUCCCAGCGCAUUGUUAGCAGAAGGGCGCCCCCGGACAGCGCGCCUCGGCCCUUUGCUCCUGGAGAGCUCCCGGCGCCCUCCCGGGGCCGGGACCGGCGGCACCCUAGGCCACCUAUCCGCGCCUUCUAGGGUCAGACCCCUCGCACUUUACCUGGACCGGAUGGCCCAAGUCCCGGCGCUCGGCCAGAGCCGCCUAUGCAGUGCUACUCCGAGCGCCGAGAAACCUACACUACCGCAGGACGUUCCCUCCACGCUGGUCCGCAGGUCUCCAGAGCGCAGCACGCAAGAUCGCCGCACAGACUCAGACUUCCCCCCGGGUGAGCCCCCGGGGUCAGUGCUCGGGACCACCAUCCCCACCCGGCCAGGAGGCCAGCCGGCCCUCGGCCCGCCUUGUCGGUCCCCGCCAUCCGGAGACCUCCCCCCGUCCCCCCGCAGUGCCGCCGAACGCUCCAGUUGGGGCAGCCUCAGGAGUCCAGGCGCAGUGAGGGGACCCCCACCCCACCCCCGGGCGCUCUCGGCCUGACUCCCUUCUCCCCAACCUCCAAGACAGGUUACCUUUUCCACGCUCUCCAGACCACGCUUUGGACUUUUUCACUUUUAUUUAAGAGUCCACCCGGGGAAGGAGGAAAAAAAAAAUCCAGAGGAGAUCCGAGUCAAUUGGAAAGAAAAAAAAAAAAAAAAUUCAAAAGGGUGUCCACAGCGGCGAAAAAGAUUAAACACCUCUUACCCGCGCCUAGGCUCCAGGACCUGUCCUCCCCAAAAGAAAUGAGACGAGGGCCGAACGCAAAAGUGGCGCUUCCUGAGAGUCGCACCCCAUCGCGGUGGCCACGUGCCGGCAGACGGUCCCACACUUCGGUGGCAUUCGCGGACGCAGGAGGGAGCUCGGCGCGGGCACGCAGGUGGGGGUGG